UACGGAGGGUGCGAGCGUUAAUCGGAAUAACUGGGCGUAAAGGGCACGCAGGCGGCAUUUUAAGUGAGGUGUGAAAUCCCCGGGCUUAACCUGGGAAUAGCAUUUGAAACUGAGAGUCUAGAGUACUUUAGGGGGAGGUAGAAUUCCACGUGUAGCGGUGAAAUGCGUAGAGAUGUGGAGGAAUACCGUAGGCGAAGGCAGCCCCUUGGGAAUGUACUGACGCUCAUGUGCGAAAGCGUGGGGAGCAAACAGG
rnacentral:rRNA from 1 species